UACGGGGGGAGCAAGCGUUGUUCGGAUUUACUGGGCGUAAAGGGCGCGUAGGCGGUAGCACAAGUCAGUUGUGAAAUCUCCGGGCUUAACUCGGAAAGGUCAACUGAUACUGUGCGACUAGAGUGCAGAAGGGGCAACUGGAAUUCCUGGUGUAGCGGUGAAAUGCGCAGAUAUCAGGAGGAACACCGAUGGCGAAGGCAGGUCUCUGGGCCACUACUGACGCUGAGAAGCGAAAGCAUGGGGAGCGAACAGG
rnacentral:rRNA from 1 species